rnacentral:rRNA from 1 species
CUUUACUGCAACUUGACAGUGAGGCUCGGGACAAUCUGCGUAGGAUAGGUAGGAGGCUUUGAAGUCGGGGUUCCGGCCUCGAUGGAGCCAACGUUGAAAUACUACCCUGGUUGUCCUUGGCUUCUAACCUGGGUCCCUCAGCGGGAUCGGGGACACUGUCUGGUGGGCAGUUUGACUGGGGCGGUCGCCUCCCAAAAGGUAACGGAGGCGUGCGAAGGUACCCUCAGGCUGAUUGGAAACCAGCCUUCGAGUGCAAUGGCAUAAGGGUGCUUAACUGUGAGACCGACAGGUCGAACAGGUGCGAAAGCAGGCCAUAGUGAUCCGGUGGUCCCGUAUGGAAGGGCCAUCGCUCAUCGGACAAAAGGUA